CUGAGAUUUACGAUAACAUUUACUCAGUUCCUAUUACAGUUACUUAGCCGGCAAGAAGCAGACUGAGACAACAGCUCCUUGUAGCUUUACCACAACUUCUAUCAACAGAUGGAUAGAAGGAUUAUCUUGGUGAUUUUAGGCAAAGAUUAGAGGACAGCAGAUGCCCUCUGUGGGUGGAGAGGAGCAUUAGGGAGUGGAGAAGCGAGAGAUGAAUAAAGGUAUAAGCAGAAAAAACGAUAAGCAUGCACGUGGGCAAGUAAUCAGAGUGAUGCUGGGGAAAAAAAUGGAAUUUGGCUUACAUUGUGAUGCAGAUUCAUACAAACACAUCGCCUACCACACGUCUGCUAUCUCUGCUAUCUCACAAGAGCAGUUUCUGUUUGUGCCUGUUUAUCCAGUUAUUAGUGCAAAGAAUAAAUAAUACACAAGUUAUACAUUUAAUUCAUUUUAUUGUACACAGGGAAUUUUCACAUAUACAAUUUGUACACAUUUUUCAUUAUAUUAUUAUUAUUAUUUCUAUUUUUUUCUCCAAAGGGAAUGCUUUUGUUGUUGUUUUGUUUAUAUUGUGCUGACAAGUCAAGUUACAUUUAGGAAAACAAAAUAAGAAAGAAAUUAAAUGUUCAGGAAAGAAGCGCAAAAAA